GCAAAUUUUUCUUCACCGAGAGGCUGUUUCUCUCUAUUUUUGUUGUUGUUGUUGCAGAGCCAACUACAAGAGGAGAGUGGGUGACUUGAGCAAUUGGAGCAGGGUGGAAGUCUGCGAGGGUGUUUUGUACCCAGCAAGAUCUGCAGCAGAGCUGAGGAAGGGAAACCCUUCACCUGAGCCCUCUCCCUGCUGUCGGGGCACAUCUGGGCUCAGCUCCACCAGUAGCUGGCGGGAAGGUGACGUGGAUACCUGCUUGGAGUUGCUCCCAAGAGGCCUUUUGCUGGGACAGAAAGAGGAAUAAUAACUGCAGGCAAAGCUACCACCCAAUUGGUUGGCCCUGUUGUAUGACAGCAACCUACUGCUGAUUGAAGCAGGUAAUUAUG
rnacentral:lncRNA from 1 species